AAUUUUGGACAAUGGGGGAAACCCUGAUCCAGCCUUCCCUCGUGUUGUAUGAUUGCCUUCUGUUUGUAAAUUACUUUUGGCAGAAAAGUAAGGGUAUCCCCUAAUACGGACUACUGCUGACGUUAGCAUCAUAAUAAGCACCGGCUAACUCCGUGCCAGCAUCCGAGGUAAUACUUAUGGUGCAAGCGUUAAUCGGAAUUACUGGGCGUAAAGCGUGUGUAGGCGGUUAGGAAAGAAAGAUGUGAAAUCACAGGGCUCAACCUUUGAACUUCAUUUUUAACUGACGAGCUAGAGUAUGUCAGAGGGGAGUAAAAUUCCACGUGUAGCAGUGAAACGCGUAGAUAUGUGGAGGAAUACCGAUGGCGAAGGCAGCCCCCUGGGAUAAUACUGACGCUCAGACACGAAAGCGUGGGGAGCAAACAGG
rnacentral:rRNA from 1 species